rnacentral:rRNA from 1 species
ACACUCCUACGGGAGGCAGCAGUGGGGAAUAUUGGACAAUGGGCGCAAGCCUGAUCCAGCCAUGCCGCGUGAGUGAUGAAGGCCCUAGGGUUGUAAAGCUCUUUCACCGGUGAAGAUAAUGACGGUAACCGGAGAAGAAGCCCCGGCUAACUUCGUGCCAGCAGCCGCGGUAAUACGAAGGGGGCUAGCGUUGUUCGGAUUUACUGGGCGUAAAGCGCACGUAGGCGGACUAUUAAGUCAGGGGUGAAAUCCCGGGGCUCAACCCCGGAACUGCCUUUGAUACUGGUAGUCUUGAGUUCGAGAGAGGUGAGUUGAAUUCCGAGUGUAGAGGUGAAAUUCGUAGAUAUUCGGAGGAACACCAGUGGCGAAGGCGGCUCACUGGCUCGAUACUGACGCUGAGGUGCGAAAGCGUGGGGAGCAAACAGGAUUAGAAACCCCAGUAGUCCCA